rnacentral:rRNA from 1 species
AUUGAACGCUGGCGGCAGGCCUAACGCAUGCAAGUCGAGCGGAUGAGAGGAGCUUGCUCCUUGAUUCAGCGGCGGACGGGUGAGUAAUGCCUAGGAAUCUGCCUGGUAGUGGGGGACAACGUUUCGAAAGGAACGCUAAUACCGCAUACGUCCUACGGGAGAAAGCAGGGGACCUGCGGACCUUGCGCUAUCAGAUGAGCCUAGGUCGGAUUAGCUAGUCGGUGGGGUAAUGGCCCACCUAGACGACGAUCCGUAACUGGUCUGAGAGGAUGAUCAGUCACACUGGAACUGAGACACGGUCCAGACUCCGACGGGAGGCAGCAGUGGGGAAUAUUGGACAAUGGGCGAAAGCCUGAUCCAGCCAUGCCGCGUGUGUGAAGAAGGUCUUCGGAUUGUAAAGCACUUUAAGUUGGGAGGAAGGGCAGUAAGUUAAUACCUUGCUGUUUUGACGUUACCGACAGAAUAAGCACCGGCUAACUUCGUGCCAGCCGCCGCCGUAA